GAACGAGUAGCUGUUAAAGAAGCAACGGUCUGACCUGGCGACUGUGAAAAUAAAAGCUUUAAAAUUAGGGAGUGAAGUGAUGGGUUGAACUUAAAAUGAUUGCCUGAAGCUGUGAAUUAUUAAGGAGGUGCUAUGGGCAUCGUUAUUUGGGGAUCAUUAAGCAAGUGUUUAAUGGGUUGUUCUGGGCUGGAUUUAGAUGCAAAUUUAAAUGGGAAGUGUUCUAGCUGCUUGAAUUGGUGCUCAAUUAGUUAUAUUACAUGUGCAAGUAAGAUAUGAUGUGAUCCAACUAGAUACGUAGGCAAUGAUGUGGUAAUGACAAUUGAUUUUCUCAUCGUUAUUUACUUGACUUUGUGCAUGUGUAAUAUAAGAAUUAUAGUUGUUGGAUGCUACUUGGUGCAAUAAUGAUUCUUGUCAGAUUUCUUUAUUGGGAUUAAGUUAACAUGAUGAAUAUUAGGGAUAUCUGGACAUGAUGAAUAUUAGUGAUAUCUGGAGUAUGAAAUUGGAGCCUCUUAUAGUGGGGGAUUUGGGAUUUAUAGGAAGUGCAGUGGCAUUUAUCUGGCUAAUCUUGGUUAGAAUCGGAGCACGUUUAAAGUUCGUCUAUAAAAAAAUUGUCUUAAUUUGUUUGCUCGUUCUUAUACUGUUUGGAUCCCAUUCUUCUUAUCUUUAUGGUUGUCCUACAUAUGCAU
rnacentral:misc_RNA from 1 species